GGAGGGAGGGAGGGGGUGGGGGAUACCUAUCUGUAAAAAAUGCAUAUUGUCUAUAUAACGUUCCUAAAACUAAAUUGUCCCAUAGUAUAAUGGCAAAUAUUAUCUGUGGUGUGCGCACUGAUCGAUCUACGGUUAUGUUAAUUAAUUCAGUUGGUGGUUACUGUAGUUUAAGAAAGUACGCAUCGUCAUUUUUAAACUAAUAUCGUAUGUUUUGCUUUUCAUAAUAGUUCACUUGCUACAAACAUAAUAUUUUCAACUACGGGGGGGGGG